GAAUGUGAUAGAAUCUAGUAUUUAACAGGGAAAUGUAGUUGGUACUUUGUCAUUGUCUGUUGAUGUUAGUUAGAUUGUGGGUCAUACAGCUAUCCAUUAACCUGAAGAAGACAAAUGCUGAAAUUUUGUUCCAAGUAUAUAUUUUAAUUACAUAUGAAAUGAUUCCCUUUACAUAGAAUAAUUUUUUGGAUUGAAAUGAUGUAGGAAACAAUUGGAGCGGCAUGAUAUACGAAAACAAGGAGAUAGGCGGCAACUGGCCACAGAAUGGGACGGUCAAGAGAUGCCAAGAACAAAAGUUAAAGAGGUACUACUGAUAUGCCUACUUUAAUUUAAAACUGAAUAUUAAAUAUGCAGUUGAUACAGCAGUAUUAGGUUCAAUUGACUACUUUGAAGUUUCAGUGGAGGUGGGUAUGGCAUGUCACCAUUGCCGGCCGAACCCGGUGAAUUUUUCUAUUACAAAACUAGAAGGAUAAUUAUAUCACAUGUAUUGAUAUAAUGAGAAUUUAUUUUUUGUUCUAUGUUUACACCUAAAAACAAUAAGUUUGUAUUAAUUUUGUAAUAGUGGCAUAAUAAUGGAAUUAUGAUGACAAAUUUGAGAAUAUUAUAUUACUUUUCAAAUGACUA
rnacentral:lncRNA from 1 species